GUUCACUGGGGGCACCAUCGAGCCUCUCCCCAAACAGCACAGGCCCCGCCCGUCACGUGCAGCGCCCGAGGCUCUUGGAUGGAUUUCUCCCACGCCUCCGGCCCACAGGACAGAGAUCUCCACAGUCCUUCUCCUGUCUGCCCCAGAGGCUGGGCCCCAGGUACCCACAGCCCAACAGGGGCUUCUGGGGCCUGAGGACGGACCCCAGUGGGAGGUGGUAGAUUAGGUACCCCACGAGGCACAGCCUGCAUCUGAUUCAUCUCUGUGUAUCCAGUACCCAGCACGUGUCCACACAGAGGAGCAGCUCAGGGAACCUUCAGUGGAUAGAUGGGACUCCAUUGCAGGGAACCGAGUCUGAGGAAAUGACUCUCAGAUGAGAAAAAGCUUUGUGCACACAGAUGUCCAUCGUGGCAUGACUUGCAGCACUGGGAAACUGGAAACCAAUUGUCAAGGACCGGUUGGAAAAUGGCAUGAGCCAGGCCACCACACAUGGUCAUGAAGACACGGUGACAGUAAAGUGCAGAAAUGCUUAGUGACAGCAAGGGAGAUGGAACCAGGGGAAACCUACAUGGCGUAAGAUUUCAGUUAUGUUUAAAACAUUCACAGGAAAAAAGGAUCAAAAGAAAAUAUGGGCUGGGCGCAGUGGCUCAUGUCUGUAAUCCCAGCAGUUUGGGAGGCUGAGGUGGAUUGCUUGAAUCCAGGAGUUCGAGACCAGCCUGGGCAACAUGGCGAGAUCCUGUCGCUACAAAACAUAAAAAUUAGCUGGGUGUGGUGGUGCAUGCCUGUAGUUCCAAGCUACUUGGGAGGCUGAGGUGGGAGGAUUGGUUGAGCCUGGGAGACCAAGGUUGCAGUGAUCUGAGAUUGCACCACUGCACUCCAGCCUGGGCAACAGAGCUGUCUCAAAAAAAAAAACAAACCAAUGUGUAUGUGUGUGUGUGUGUGUGUGUGUGUG
rnacentral:lncRNA from 1 species